GUCGCGCCGGCGCUGCUUUCAGCGUGAGCAUAUGAGAGAGAGUCAGAGCAGAUCAGCACAGACCGUUUCUCCACAAAAUCCAUUGAUCUAACCGGAAAUGUGAUUGAAAGUGGAGCUUUUGAAAUCGAUGCGUCAGCCUGAAGUGAUGUGGUCGGAGAGAGAGAAGAGAGAGACGGAGCGGAUCCCGGAGUGGAUCCCGGAGUGUAUCAGCACUACCCAAAGGAGAAGGACAGUGGAUUCCCAAACCACAGAGAAAUGAAUGACUGUUGAUGAGUAUCAAGCACAACCUUGACAGAGACUCAGAAGAGGCUGAAAAAAAUGGAGGAAAACGAAAAAUUGAGAAAUGACGACAAAAAAAGCUACCAAAUCUGAUAAAUGAAGUGAAGAUUGCCCUGAAGUCUCAGUGUCCGUCAGCAUCAGUCAGCUCUGACUUGGAAGAUGGGACAGGAUUUGCCACAGAGUAAUUACAGAGCCCUUCCAACAGAACAGGAGCAACGUUGUAGAAAUUGUCCUCAUGUGGUGCCCGCCAGCACUGGUGCAACCAUCAAUGCCAAACUUACUGAAAUUAGAGGGAAGAAAACACAAAAACAUCCGAAAACCUUAAUGGUCUUUGAUGAUUGAUAGCCGUGACAGUGUGUUCGACGUAUUUUGUUGUUGUUGUGUGUUUGUGUUCAGUUUGA